UUAUAUGAAACAAUAUAUUGUAUUUAAUUUCGACUUAAAAUUAAGAAUUUAAUUAUUCCUUAUAAA
rnacentral:tRNA from 1 species